CGAGACGGUGACGUCCAGCAAAUCCCAUAAAUAAACGUCCCAGUUCGGAUUGUAGUCUGNAACCCGACUACAUGAAGCUGGAAUCGCUAGUAAUCGCAGAUCAGAAUGCUGCGGUGAAUACGUUCCCGGGUCUUGUACACACCGCCCGUCACACCAUGGGAGUCGGAAAUGCCCGAAGCCAGUGACCCAACCUUUAAGGAGGGAGCUGUCGAAGGCAGGUCUGGUAACUGGGGUGAAGUCGUAACAAGGUAAC
rnacentral:rRNA from 1 species